rnacentral:lncRNA from 1 species
UGCAACACACACUAAACCCCUGAGCUCAGCCCAAACGGAGACUCCUUGGAGCCCAGAAGUAGCUGCUCGGAGCGCUCCUGGGUCCGUACUGCCAGCCCCGUAGCCCGUCGUCUCCCGAACCAGACACUGCCUCUCACGGGGGCGGAGGGAAUCCCUCCGCCUGCCUGACCCACAAAGCCUGGGAGAUGGAAUCCCUGCGGUUUGCUUGUCUCUGUGAACUGUGCGACUGUGGGUGAUCAUGACAUGACGACAACCCACCAGAGCACCUACCAGUCUGUGCCCUUGGAGAAGCGGGUAGCCCAGUCACGCGGUAAAGGAGUAGUGCCAGCAGGGAAACGAGCCCAGGUGGAAUACAUGACCAAGUACCAGAGCGAUUUCCCAGCAUGCAGCUUGUUACCUGCACGGAUUCAGCCUGCUCAGCCUCCUCUGGACAACCUGGCAAUCAACCAGGGCUUCAGAUUUUCAGACGGUGCAGAGGGAAAGCUACCAUGGCUGGGACACCCGCAGAUACCCUCGUGCCUGCCCCAUCAAGCUGAAAGAGGAGCUGGCAGACUUGGGGAAAGAGAGGGAUGGAAAAUUCAGUGGAGACACUGUGACCAAGCUCUCUUACCCUCCUCUGCCCUUGGACAGGCCUCCGGGGACUAUCCAGUGGCCCCCCACAGUGCUGAGAUCCCUCCCUGCAAAGUUUGA